UGGCUCAGGAUGAACGCUAGCGACAGGCCUAACACAUGCAAGUCGAGGGGCAUCGGGGCGAGGAGCAAUCCUUGCCGCCGGCGACCGGCGCACGGGUGAGUAACGCGUAUGCGACCUGCCCGUUGCAGGGGGAUAAUCGGGAGAAAUCCCGUCUAAUACCGCGUAACGCCGCGGGGCUGCAUGGCCCUGCGGCCAAAGGGAGCGAUUCCGGCAACGGAUGGGCAUGCGUGACAUUAGCUAGUUGGCGGGGCAACGGCCCACCAAGGCGACGAUGUCUAGGGGUUCUGAGAGGAAGGUCCCCCACACUGGUACUGAGACACGGACCAGACUCCUACGGGAGGCAGCAGUGAGGAAUAUUGGUCAAUGGGCGCGAGCCUGAACCAGCCAAGUCGCGUGAGGGAUGACGGCCCUACGGGUUGUAAACCUCUUUUGUCGGGGAGCAAAUUCCGCCACGUGUGGCGGAGUCGAGAGUACCCGAAGAAAAAGCAUCGGCUAACUCCGUGCCAGCAGCCGCGGUAAUACGGAGGAUGCGAGCGUUAUCCGGAUUUAUUGGGUUUAAAGGGUGCGUAGGCGGACUGUCAAGUCAGCGGUAAAAUACGGGGGCUCAACCUCCGCCCGCCGUUGAAACUGACGGUCUUGAGUGGGCGAGAAGUAUGCGGAAUGCGUGGUGUAGCGGUGAAAUGCAUAGAUAUCACGCAGAACUCCGAUUGCGAAGGCAGCAUACCGGCGCCCAACUGACGCUGAAGCACGAAAGCGUGGGUAUCGAACAGGAUUAGAUACCCUGGUAGUCCACGCAGUAAACGAUGAAUACUAGCUGUCCGGGGCGAAUGAGCCCUGGGUGGCACAGCGAAAGCGUUAAGUAUCCCACCUGGGGAGUACGCCGGCAACGGUGAAACUCAAAGGAAUUGACGGGGGCCCGCACAAGCGGAGGAACAUGUGGUUUAAUUCGAUGAUACGCGAGGAACCUUACCCGGGCUCAAACGACACAGGAACGUACCUGAAAGGGUUCGGCUCUACGGAGCCUGUGUCGAGGUGCUGCAUGGUUGUCGUCAGCUCGUGCCGUGAGGUGUCGGCUUAAGUGCCAUAACGAGCGCAACCCCCAUCGACAGUUGCUAACAGGUUAGGCUGAGGACUCUGUCGAGACUGCCGGCGCAAGCUGCGAGGAAGGCGGGGAUGACGUCAAAUCAGCACGGCCCUUACGUCCGGGGCGACACACGUGUUACAAUGGCAGGUACAGCGGGAAGCCACCUGGCGACAGGGAGCGGAACCCGAAAGCCUGUCUCAGUUCGGAUUGGAGUCUGCAACCCGACUCCAUGAAGCUGGAUUCGCUAGUAAUCGCGCAUCAGCCACGGCGCGGUGAAUACGUUCCCGGGCCUUGUACACACCGCCCGUCAAGCCAUGGAAGCCGGGGGUGCCUGAAGUGCGCUGCCGCGAGGAGCGCCCUAGGGUAAAACCGGUGACUGGGGCUAAGUCGUAACAAGGUA
rnacentral:rRNA from 1 species